rnacentral:lncRNA from 1 species
GCUCUUUUUCUGCGAGGAGCAAACGCCCGCCCGCAGCUAAGGUUCAGAAAUUUGCCACACUGUAUCAGAAACAGAUCCAGCCUUCAGCGAGGCCAAGGUCCUGGCGGCGCAGGCCCCAGCUCUGGAGACUUUGCAGCCCACCAGGGGGCCACGGAGGGUGAGGCUCCGGCCAGAGGUCAAGGCUGCCCAGGACGCUGCCAAUGAGCUCUGUCCUGCCACUGGCGGGACGUUAGGAACCCCGCCACCCAAACCGCCCACAUUUCCAUUUCAAAGACCUUCCCACCCCCUGGGCAAAGCCUCCGGAAGCACAAUGGACGUUCCAGGAUGUUGGGACACCAGGCCCAGAGACUGUGUCCCGGAGAGCAGGAGAACAGAGAACCUGGGAUCCCCUGCUCCCCUCAAGAGACUUUUCUGGCUGCAAGCACCUGAAAUUUGUUCUGGAGGCCAGAAGUCCGAAAUCAAGGAGCUGACGGAGCUGCUCCCUCCGUAGGCUCUGAGGGAGAUCUGUCCGGCCUUGCGCCCUGCCUCUGGUGGCCACUGGCUGUCCUCAGUGUUCCUUGCCUUACAGAUGCCUCACCCCAGCCUCUACCUCCGUCUGCACAUCACCUUCUCCUCUGCGUGUCCUCUCCCC